rnacentral:rRNA from 1 species
UACGUAGGGUGCAAGCAUUAAUCGGAUUCAUUGGGCGUAAAGAGCGUGUAGGCGGGAAAGAAAGUUAGAUGUGAAAGCCCGGGGCUCAACUCCGGAACUGCAUCUAAAACUCCUUUUCUAGAGGAUGGACGGAGAAAAUGGAAUUCCACGUGUAGCGGUGAAAUGCGUAGAUAUGUGGAAGAACACCAGUGGCGAAAGCGAUUUUCUAGUUUAGACCUGACGCUGAGGCGCGAAAGCUAGGGGAGCAAACAGG